UUCUGGGGAUACUUCCACCGUUAUCUGAAGCCUGCAAAUGGAGAUUUAUUCUAUGGUCUAUUCUGAUUUUGGCCUAGCACGUGAGAUCAGUUCACAACCACCCUACACUGAGUAUGUCUCCACACGGUGGUAUCGUGCUUCUGAAGUGCUACUUCAAUCUUAUCUGUAUAGCUCCAAAGUUGACAUGUGGGCAAUGGGUGCUAUAAUGGCUGAAUUGUUCUCUCUUCGUCCUCUUUUCCCUGGUGCCAGAAUCAGACUAUUUCGUGAACAGUAUUGUAUGACAAGAAGACUGGAACUAAUUUGCUUCAAUGGCCAGUGGAAGAAAUAGAGAGCUUGAGACUUAGCAGUGAUGAAUUUAAAGAAUUAUUGGUUAAACCUGGCACAGUAGUGCCAUUACACAUUGGCCCUGCAACACAGGAUUUUUCCAUAGUUAUUGGUUGCAUUGUUACAACUUGUAUCUCACAGUAAUCAUGGUUUUACUUUACAUUUUCCUGAUUUUUAUUUAUUUAUUUAUUUAUUUUUUGUUGUUCAGUUGGACAUAUUUUUUGGACCAUUUGGCAUUUUGGCUAUUGCAAAUGACCAACUUUCUGAACUAACACCAAUUUAUUUCUGUCUUUCAAAUUAUGGAAAUGGAACCUCAACUACUACAACUAUUACUACUUCUACUUCUACUUCCUUCUGUGUUGAUGAAACUAGGUCAUCAAAGGCACCUGAUGUAUCAAAGCUAGUUUUCGGAAGCAAAUUGCCUAUUCUAAGUGAUGAAAAACUAUCAUUGAAGGUAUUGCUUUUCGAGGCAAAAAAACGAGAGCGGGCCUUUACGAAUAGAGGACGUCGGAAUCAGUUGCGCUCAAUGGGAGAAGCCAAGAAUUUGCUUCAAUAUAUGUUCAAUUCAGUCGCAGAUGUUAGGUGCUCUAUUUGACAUCAAUUUAUUUUUUUCUCUUCUAUCAGAAGAUUAAUAACUUUUAUUAGAAGAUACUUAUGUAGAAUACAAUAUUUUGGUUUUUUAUAGUUUAUUAGUAGUAAAUUCUAAGUGGUCUAAUCUAAUGUAUAUUUUGAUAUGGGUAUAUUUAAUUUAGUGUGAGAUGUAUGAAUACUCAUUUAUGAUCA